rnacentral:sRNA from 1 species
CUUGGUCAUUUAGAGGAAGUAAAAGUCGUAACAAGGUUUCCGUAGGUGAACCUGCGGAAGGAUCAUUACUGAGCGUGAGGCCACGCAGGACACUCGUUCUGCGCGGCUGACCCUCCACCCGUGUGAACUAUUUGUGUUGCUUUGGCGGGCCGGGCUCGACCUACCGGCUCCGGCUGGGGAGCGCCCGCCAGAGAAGCCCCAACUCGUGUAGUUAGUGCAGUCUGAGUCUAAAUUAAUAAGUAAAACUUUCAACAACGGAUCUCUUGGUUCUCGCAUCGAUGAAGAACGCAGCGAAAUGCGAUACGUAAUAUGAAUUGCAGAUUUUCGUGAAUCAUCGAAUCUUUGAACGCACAUUGCGCCCUGUGGUAUUCCACAGGGCAUGCCUGUUUGAGCGUCAUUUCUCCCUCAAACCUCUGGUUUGGCGUUGAGUGAUACUCGGUUUACUUGAAAAACAUGAAAAGCAUAACUAUUAGGUUUUACCAACUCGUUAUACUAAUCUACAAGUUUGACCUCAAAUCAGGUAGGACUACCCGCUGAACUUAAGCAUAUCAAUAAGCGGAGGAAAAGAAACCAACCGGGAUUGCCUCAGUAACGGCGAGUGAAGCGGCAAAAGCUCAAAUUUGAAAUCUGCGUAAGCCGAGUUGUAAUUUGAAGAUGGCUACUUUGGUAAUGGCUCUUGUCUAUGUUCCUUGGAACAGGACGUCACAGAGGGUGAGAAUCCCGUGCGAUGAGAUGUCCAUUACCGUGUAAAGUGCUUUCGAAGAGUCGAGUUGUUUGGGAAU